UACGUAGGUGACAAGCGUUGUCCGGAUUUACUGGGCGUAAAGGGCGCGUAGGCGGCAAUUCAAGUCAUCUGUGAAAUCUCCGGGCUUAACCCGGAACGGUCAGGUGAUACUGUUUUGCUAGAGUGCGGAAGGGGCAAUCGGAAUUCUCGGUGUAGCGGUGAAAUGCGUAGAUAUCGAGAGGAACACCAGAGGUGAAGACGGGUUGCUGGGCCGACACUGACGCUGACAGCGCGAAAGCCAGGGGAGCAAACGGG
rnacentral:rRNA from 1 species